rnacentral:tRNA from 3 species
GGGCAAGUAGCCGAACUGGUAUAGGCGCUGGUCUUAGGAACCAGUGGAGAAAUCCGUGGGGGUUCGAGUCCCCCCUUGCCCA